rnacentral:rRNA from 1 species
AGCGAACGCUGGCGGCGUGCCUAACACAUGCAAGUCGAACGUGAAAAGGGAAACCUGCGUCCAGUGGCGUACGGGUGAGUAACGCGUAGGUAAUCUACCCCAGAAUCUGGAAUAACCUGCCGAAAGGCGGGCUAAUACUGGAUAGAGCGAGGGAACUCGUAAGAGAGUUUUUCGGGAAAGGGAGCCCGCAAGGGCCUUCGUUCUGGGAUGAGCCUGCGUCUCAUUAGCUAGUUGGUAAGGUAACGGCUUACCAAGGCGAUGAUGAGUAGCUGGUCUGAGAGGAUGAUCAGCCACACUGGAACUGAAACACGGUCCAGACUCCUACGGGAGGCAGCAGUGGGGAAUCUUGCGCAAUGGACGAAAGUCUGACGCAGCCACGCCGCGUGAGUGAAGAAGGCCUUCGGGUUGUAAAGCUCUGUCGGAUGGGACGAACAUCUUCAUAGUGAAUAGCUAUGAGGACUGACGGUACCAUCAAAGGAAGCACCGGCUAACUCCGUG